GCUUAGGACAGACCGAGGGGAUUGGGGAGGGUGUGGUGCCUCACGGGUAGGCAUUGGGGGAGGAGGCGGCACCAACUGUGGCCAGCCGACCGAUGGGGACGACGGGAAGAGGCAGGGCACCUUUUGUGGUGAAUCCGCCACCUCCGCCACCGUGACUUCCGCGCACCCGGCUCCGCUUCGCUCCACCACCGUCGUUAUUGUCGGGAUUGAGGCCAGGGGCUUCAUAUUUGGCCUGGCAAUUGCGUUGGCUAUCGGCGCCAAGUUCAUACCGCUGCGCAAGCCUAGAAAGCUCCCAGGGUUCUAGUGUGGAAGCAAAUGUAUGAUUUAAAGAAGAAGAUUGUUUUUACUAGUUGCAGUGUCUAUGUGAUAAGCUUAUGCAAAGAAGCUUUUUUUUUCUUGAGAACACUGAUUAUGAAUGGAGUUGAACCAUAAUUCCUUUUUUCAUAUAUAUCUUGGAUAUCUGGAUGGAGAUGAUCUAUGAUUUGGUGACGAAUGGAUUAGCUAGGUUCAAUUUACCACUGGAAUUAAUUUUUCAAUGUAUUGGACUAUGUCAAAUAAUUUUGGUCUUGUGAUUUUUCAUGCAUCAUGUUCAUGUGCAUAAAAAUAAUGUGGUUGACAUUGAUCUGUGGUGA